rnacentral:rRNA from 1 species
CGUGGGUAACCUGCCUGUAAGACUGGGAUAACUCCUGGGAAACCGGGGCUAAUACCGGAUGGUUGUUUGAACCGCAUGGUUCAAUAUAAAAGGUGGCUUCGGCUACCACUUACAGAUGGACCUGGCGCGGCGCAUUAGCUAGUUGGUGAGGUAACGGCUCACCAAGGCGACGAUGCGUAGCCGACCUGAGAGGGUGAUCGGCCACACUGGGACUGAGACACGGCCCAGACUCCUACGGGAGGCAGCAGUAGGGAAUCUUCCGCAAUGGACGAAAGUCUGACGGAGCAACGCCGCGUGAGUGAUGAAGGUUUUCGGAUCGUAAAGCUCUGUUGUUAGGGAAGAACAAGURCCGUUCRAAUAGGGCGGYACCUUGACGGUACCUAACCAGAAAGCCACGGCUAACUACGUGCCAGCAGCCGCGGUAAUACGUAGGUGGCAAGCGUUGUCCGGAAUUAUUGGGCGUAAAGGGCUCGCAGGCGGUUUCUUAAGUCUGAUGUGAAAGCCCCCGGCUCAACCGGGGAGGGUCAUUGGAAACUGGGGAACUUGAGUGCAGAAGAGGAGAGUGGAAUUCCACGUGUAGCGGUGAAAUGCGUAGAGAUGUGGAGGAACACCAGUGGCGAAGGCGACUCUCUGGUCUGUAACUGACGCUGAGGAGCGAAAGCGUGGGGAGCGAACAGGAUUAGAUACCCUGGUAGUCCACGCCGUAAACGAUGAGUGCUAAGUGUUAGGGGGUUUCCGCCCCUUAGUGCUGCAGCUAACGCAUUAAGCACUCCGCCUGGGGAGUACGGUCGCAAGACUGAAACUCAAAGGAAUUGACGGGGGCCCGCACAAGCGGUGGAGCAUGUGGUUU